GAUGAACGCUGGCGGCGUGCCUAAUACAUGCAAGUCGAGCGAACAGACGAGGAGCUUGCUCCUCUGACGUUAGCGGCGGACGGGUGAGUAACACGUGGAUAACCUACCUAUAAGACUGGGAUAACUUCGGGAAACCGGAGCUAAUACCGGAUAACAUGUUGAACCGCAUGGUUCAACAGUGAAAGACGGUCUUGCUGUCACUUAUAGAUGGAUCCGCGCCGCAUUAGCUAGUUGGUAAGGUAACGGCUUACCAAGGCGACGAUGCGUAGCCGACCUGAGAGGAUGAUCGGCCACACUGGAACUGAGACACGGUCCAGACUCCUACGGGAGGCAGCAGUAGGGAAUCUUCCGCAAUGGGCGAAAGCCUGACGGAGCAACGCCGCGUGAGUGAAGAAGGUCUUCGGAUCGUAAAACUCUGUUAUUAGGGAAGAACAAAUGUGUAAGUAACUAUGCACGUCUUGACGGUACCUAAUCAGAAAGCCACGGCUAACUACGUG
rnacentral:rRNA from 1 species